rnacentral:rRNA from 1 species
CGCCGUAUUAGCUAGUUGGUAAGGUAACGGCUUACCAAGGCAACGAUACGUAGCCGACCUGAGAGGGUGAUCGGCCACACUGGAACUGAGACACGGUCCANACUCCUACGGGAGGCAGCAGUAGGGAAUCUUCCGCAAUGGACGAAAGUCUGACGGAGCAACGCCGCGUGAGUGAUGAAGGUUUUCGGAUCGUAAAACUCUGUUAUUAGGGAAGAACAAAUGUGUAAGUAACUGUGCACAUCUUGACGGUACCUAAUCAGAAAGCCACGGCUAACUACGUGCCAGCAGCCGCGGUAAUACGUAGGUGGCAAGCGUUAUCCGGAAUUAUUGNGCGUAAAGCGCGCGUAGGCGGUUUCUUAAGUCUGAUGUGAAAGCCCACGGCUCAACCGUGGAGGGUCAUUGGAAACUGGGAAACUUGAGUACAGAAGAGGAAAGUGGAAUUCCAUGUGUAGCGGUGAAAUGCGCAGAGAUAUGGAGGAACACCAGUGGCGAAGGCGACUUUCUGGUCUGUAACUGACGCUGAUGUGCGAAAGCGUGGGGAUCAAACAGGAUUAGAUACCCUGGUAGUCCACGCCGUAAACGAUGAGUGCUAAGUGUUAGGGGGUUUCCGCCCCUUAGUGCUGCAGCUAACGCAUUAAGCACUCCGCCUGGGGAGUACGACCGCAAGGUUGAAACUCAAAGGAAUUGACGGGGACCCGCACAAGCGGUGGAGCAUGUGGCUUAAUUCGAAGCAACGCGAAGAACCUUACCAAAUCUUGACAUCCUUUGAAAACUCUAGAGAUAGAGCUUUCCCCUUCGGGGGACAAAGUGACAGGUGGUGCAUGGUUGUCGUCAGCUCGUGUCGUGAGAUGUUGGGUUAAGUCCCGCAACGAGCGCAACCCUUAAACUUAGUUGCCAGCAUUUAGUUGGGCACUCUAGGUUGACUGCCGGUGACAAACCGGAGGAAGGUGGGGAUGACGUCAAAUCAUCAUGCCCCUUAUGAUUUGGGCUACACACGUGCUACAAUGGACAAUACAAAGGGCAGCUAAACCGCGAGGUCAUGCAAAUCCCAUAAAGUUGUUCUCAGUUCGGANNGUAGUCUGCAACUCGACUACAUGAAGCGGAAUCGCUAGAAU